UGUUGCUGAGCAUCGUGGAGGGAGACUGUGGUAGGACGGCUCGCUUCAUGACGGCAAUGAAGCAGAGAGGAGGGGCAGAUGGGGAGGAGCCAGGGUAAGAUACAGCCAGGAAGAAUACACCAGAAUAGCCUACGUUCUCCAGCUAGUCCGUACAUCUGAAACUGCCCAGCACCUCCCAACGGUCUAGUUAAAUUUUCACUCAUCUGUGGAGUCAUCCACCGAGGAAGCCAGAGUCGCCAGGAUUCAAGUCCUUCCCUGCUGUCUGACAGCCAAGCACCCAACAUAUGACCCUAUCAGUUUCAUUUUGCCUUCUAACCAUCGCAGCCCUGACUCUUCAGAGCUUACGUUCUGGUGGUCUUGAUAAGAUAAUGCACGGCAAAAACACAAUAAUGACUGUUGCAAAAAAUCUCAGGGGCUGAGAUAGGCCUGGUUGCAGAGGGUCUCGGAAAAAAACGUCUCACAGAAGGUGUCUUGUAAGCUGAGAGGCCAAUAGAAUGGGAAGAAAGCCUGCUUGGAAGUGGAGAGAGUGUGCCGGCGAGGGCACGGUGUGAGCAAAGGCUCUGCAAAGACCAAGUUUGGUGUAUUGAAGGAACUAAGAGAGCCAGGAUGGCUGAGGCACGGUGACACCCAGGAGGGAAGGAUCUAGAACGGGGCUACAAACCAGGCAGGUUUGACUUCUCACACCCAGUAAGCAGUACAGCCACGGAACCCAGAGAAUCCUGCAUCUGAGGCAAGCAGUCUACUAAAGCAUGAGAGCAGGAGGACAGUCCUCGCCCCUCACAGACUGCAGCACUUGGGAGAGUUGCACCUUUCCUGAACAGCACAGCAGAGACGACCCUGGUGGCAGGGGCGUGGGCAGAGGUUCGGUGCUAUGGCUAGGAGCAAAGCCUGUGAGGCUGGGAGAUGUGCUCACCGCCGUGGAACUCUUAAAUGCACUCCUCUUCCAUAGCAUUUCUGUUAUAAGCUAAGUGUUCCUUACGUUCUUUAUUUUUAUGUGACAUGUUUUAGAGAUUUUUAUAUGGGCUGUGUUUAUCCCUCAAACCCUGCAGAAAUCAGGCUUUGUAAAGACAGCAGGAGAGAGGGAGGGAAGGGGAGAGGAAAGAGGGGAGGGAGGGAAGGAGGGAGGGAGGGAGAGAGGGAGAGAGAGAGAGAGAGAGAGAGAGAGAGAGAGAGAGAUUUACAGCUAACAGCUUCCUAAUGAGAAAACCAUGAACAUUGUAUUUUCAACAUCCAACUCCCCCGUCUAAAUAAUUCAUGGGGGAAAAAAUCUGUUGAACUAGAAGUGACUGGGCUAUUUUAAUGAAAGUAGAGGUUGGGGAUGUUUCAGAGCUGUAGAUCAACAUCACUGGUUUUCACUGGUGGCUGUGGUGGGGGCUGAGACCCUGAGAGAAGUUAGGCCAGCACACAGCAGAUCCAGGGACUUGGGCUCCUUGGUCUUGGGUGUUCAAGGUCACAGAGUGACCAUAGACCUGAUUCACACUAGAACCCAGUGCUUUGCGCUGACCCUCAGAACUUGCCACAGAGACACCAGAGGACAGUCAGACCCAAUGCCCCUCUCGACUGUUGUGGCAGGACAUAGAAGUCGCAGGGAGGUUAUACCUUCUCCAUCUCUUUUCCCAGUCUUUAGGGAUGCAACCCUGUGGGUUCCUACUCCAGCAUAUAUUGGCGUUCCACUAGCAUGCUUAAGCAAAUCUGGAGUCAUAGAACCCACCCAUCCCAACUAAAUCAGCCUCUGCUGGGGCCCAGGACCUGUCACAACACUCCCUGGGUGGUACCUACUACCCCUGCCUCCGAGUUUGAGAAACUCUGGGCGUUUGUUCCCUUCUCUCCCUUCAUGCUGCCGUACUCUCUCUAUCCUUCCUUUUUAAACAAACAAACAAUCUGUUUUUGCUCCCAUCACUUCAGCCUCCUCUGUUUCCUUCCCGCUAACCCUUGGGUCUGAGCACUGUAGCCACACAGUUUACAGCGGGAUGCUUCCUCAAGCCUUUGAAGAUGUUAGCUAAACACAGCCUAGAGAUUGCUCUCUCCUCUGCUUGCCACGCCUAGCCGCGCAGCUGGGCGGAGUCUCUGACCCCUCCUCCAGUGUCUUCAGUGUCUCUCCCCUGACAUCCUCAGUGCCACCUCUCCCUCAGGCCGCUGUUUGCAGUCCCUCUCCUCCUGCCUUCCUCCAGCCUCCCUCACGCAGGAGACUGGACUAGAAGACCCAGGCUGAUAGGGGAGCUUCCGGCGGCUGCUUCUGUGAUUCAUGCUCCCACAGCCUUUCUUCUUCCCUCGCUGGCUAAGUGUGUGGGUGUGCAGCAGGCUCUUCCUAGGGAAAGCUGGCAAAAAAUAAAACUUCUCGAGCUCCGAUUCGGUAGACAGAUUGAGAGGCUGCACAGCAGUUCAGAAUUGCUGCAUUGGGCUCGGUCCACCCACCUACACCCAUCCCCCCGGACCCCCAGAGAGUGGUGGGUCAGGUUCUCAGAGUUGUGAUUUGUUCCACGCUGCCUAACUUAGGAAAGUAGCGACACAAAGGGGGCACUUUAAGAUUAAACCAAUGCACAACUGUCCAGUCGAGAGUAAAAUUCAAACGGGAGGUCACCUCUGCUAAGGAUGCAUUGUGGGCAAUGGAGAGAGCUGGAGAGAGCAGACAAGAAAUAAAAAGCUAUAAAAGGGUGUGGGGAGGGGUAGAAGAGGCAAGAUGACAGCUGUGUGUUUAACUUCCCAGGAUUUAAAGCUCUGAACUAUUUGUCCAGCCCUCUCUGGGCCACCCUGUUGUAGAGCCCAUAUUGUUUUAAGUGUGCCCUUUGACCCCCAAGGCAUUUGGUCCUGGGAGCUUAGCAAACAGGAUCUUCACAGCUGUAACUUCUUCCUGGGUCUGUUUCCAUGGUCCUUGUGUGUGUCCACCCCCCUCCUGCCCCAUCGCUCUUAGACACAUACAUAACAUUUUGGGGUUUUUUUUCCCCCUCAUGGCUAUGUAAUGAAGUAAAUCCAAGUUUUCGGUCUUUUGUCAAAGUAAUAAUGUUACUGGUAAAAAUAGCACCAAAAAAAAAAAAAAAAAGAUUAACAGCAGCUAAAACUGUCUAGGGAAGAAUGGUUAUCGGUGGAAAUUGCAUGAAGAACACAAGACGUGGACAGCUGAAUCCUAUCAGGAAGCCUUGACUGACAAGGAAGGCCAGAGAGUCAAAGUUUUAAGAGCUGAUAAAAUUGGGGAUGAGGGCAAGUCGAAAUUUGUGGGAAAAGAAUUGGUAGCAAUGACAGCGACUCCUCUAAAUUAAUGAACAAAAAUGGUGGAGCUGGCGCUGGUCCAUCAACGAAUCCCAUUCAAUCCCACGGGUUCCAGAGACUUCCGUCCUGGUAGUCUACCCUGCUGAGGUGAUCACCAUGCUACACUGUCAGUUUUCUGCGGGGUAUAUCAUGGCCCUCAAAGAGCUGCAGCACCAAGAGGUAGGGCUAGGAAUCUGUGUUUCUCUUUCUCUUUAAAGUUAUUUUAUUUAUGGGUCUGGAGGAUGACACAAUGGUUAAGGACCUGUGCUGCUCCUGAGGGACCUUGAGUUUUGUCCCCAUCACCUGUAUCAGAUAGCCUGAAAAUACCCCUAAUUCCAGCAGUUGCCUCCAUUCAUAUGCGCAUACCCAUACACACAUAUACAUAAAAAUACAUGUUACAAAGUAUUGUUAUUAUUGUUAUUAUUGUGUAUUAGAGGCUGUUAACAUUGUGGCCGACUAGGAAAUUGAGCAGUGGCCGGUUGUGGUGGCGCACCCUGGUAGGAUUUGCUGAAGGAAAUUGAGCAGUGGAAACCAGGGUCCUGAGAUAACCUUAUAGGCUUGCCUCUGUGCUUACCUGAGUAGUCUCUUCUUCCCAAGGGUUCCACAGCAUCCCCAAAAUAGUUGCCCCAGCUUGGAAGCAGUGCUCACACAGCCUGUAAGGGAUAUUUCCUACCGAAAUCAUAACACUAACCCUGAUAGCACUUUGAUCUGGAUUUCUGGCUUCCAGAUCUACAAGAAAAACAACCGUCUGUUGUGUAAGUCUGUGCUGUUUGUCAUGAAAACACUGGCACUCUCAGUCCUUACAGUAAGGACGCCCACAGGAUCACCUGUGGGUAAAACAGUGUGAUCUCUAAGGCGUGCUUUAAAAUACCCCAGAGGUAAAAGCUAAGAGUAGGAAAUAGACAAACAGGACUGGCUUGAGACGGUGGUAUAGAAGCUGGUUAGACAUUACCAGAGAGCCAUAGCUAUUCCUUUCUGCUGUCCAGCGUUUGAAUAAAAUGCCAAGCCAACUCUCUUAUUUAUUUACUUAAAAUCAAGACCUUAUGGGGUGAGGCAAGUGUCCUACCACUGAGCCACAUUCUCAGCCAUAUAUAUGUAUAUAUAUGUGUGUAUAUAUAUGUAUAUAUGUAUAUAUGUAUACAUGUGUAUAUAUGUGUGUAUAUGUAUAUAUGUAUAUAUGUGUAUAUGUAUAUAUGUAUAUAUGUGUGUAUAUAUAUAAUUAGCACUACAAUAUAAGUUCAUGUGUGUCCAACCUGCAAUCCAUGGGACUUGUACAUCUCAGCACAGCUAUAAAUGCAGCCCAACACAUUUAUUAUAGAACACAGUGUCAUGUCACCAUGCCAAAAGGUUGGCACUCCUGGAAGUGAGUUUGAUGCACAUUCAAGUCUAUGAUUACCACGGAAAUUGUCCAUAACCUUGUAUUCUAACUUGUCUGGUGUGGUCUCAUAUAUUGUUAUUAUUAUUACCACUGAUGAUAAGUGUGUUUAAAUAUGUGUUUAGAAGUAAAAAUUUAUCAAAAUAUGGCAAGGCAGAAAAAAAUCAAAAUUGCAGUUAGUGGAACUCUAGACAUGGCGUAGCAGACAGGGAAGGAGGAAGUGUGUCUUUGUAGCCACGGGCUUUGAAUGCUCACCCAGCUCUGUGAAGUAAAACCUAACAUUCUUUUUUUUUUUUUGGUUCUUUUUUUCGGAGCUGGGGACCGAACCCAGGGCCUUGUGCUUCCUAGGUAAGCGCUCUACCACUGAGCUAAAUCCCCAGCCCCAAAACCUAACAUUCUUAAUUCUUUGGUAUGAAUGAACUCGCAAGAUCACACAGUAGAACAUGGAGGGACUGGGAUUUGAACUUGUAGUAUUUUCCUUUUUCCAUCAUCUCCCACCUUAUACUGAACCAUAAAGGGCAGAGGAACUCUGAACAGGACAAGGUUACGGAGAAGGAGGUAGGAUCAGUUAACGAUUGAUGCAUGAAGAUUCACAGGUUCGUAUGAGCCUGUUAUCCCAGUGAACAGAAGGCUGGGGCAAAAAGGUUGUGAACUCCAGGCUAACCUGGGCUACUUAGUAAGAUGGGGACUUAAGGGGGAAUAACGAGACACAAGCUUGACAAAUGGGCUGGGCUCGAAGGAAGACGCUGGAGGUAGAGAAAAGGUGCUGUGAGUAUUCCCUGGACAGAAGAUGACGAGAUACAAAGUCGGUAGGAACCAGGGAUCGGCACAGAACAGAAUGCUGGGAGCACAGACCGGGAUGUGGGCCUGAAAUGAAAGGAGAUGCUUUAAGACACCGGCCUGGGCCACACGGGAAAAGAUGGCAAAGUGCUGCUUCCCACCCACAGGCAAGGAAGCUGAGAGAGUAGGUUCAGAUGGAAGGCUGAAAUACACGAACUGUUUUCAACAAGCAGAAUGGGAGACGGUGGCGGAAUGGCCUAGGGGAGAAGGCUGACGGGACAGAAUUUUAGAUUUGAAAGAUGAUCUUGUCUGACUUUCGAGAGCUGUAACCAGUUGGUGUCCUGAAACACAAAGAACACCGUGUCCCUUGGGUCCCACCUACACUGCAGUGGAAAUCCAUAGCCAGCCAUCCUCUGUGAGCCAACCGGGCACCCAGCACUAUCCUCAUGUUGAGCACAGUGGUCCAGGGAUUAUUACAAAGACCUUCUCGUGGGCCUUCCUGCUUCUACCUUGGCCUCUCCUCCGUUGUUUCUCUCUAGCCAUAUGCUUUAAGAUGGCUGCAUUCCAUGUACAGUCUGGGAGUAGGAGACCCUCCCCCUGACCGCCCACAUUCCAGAACCAGGUGCUUCCCCAGCCUACCCUCAGUGACUCAGCCACCAGAUGUGACACAUUUCACUGUUGCCAAGAGUCUCCUAUUUUCCCUACGUGCAUGUACUAUGUAGCCUUUAUAAAGCCCAAGCCAUAAUGGCCUGCCCCUUUCCUUUUCCAUCCCAGCUCACAGGUAGCCAGUUGGGGUUUGAUCUUUGGGGCUCCAAGGCGUAGUUGCUCCCAGGAAUGAGAGAAUCUGCAAGCACAAUGUUUCCUUGGGCUUAAUCUAAAACUGUUGGUCAAGUAAAGAUGCUGGCAGCCAAUAGAUGGGCAGAAGAGACAUAGGUGAGGCUCGGGGUUCCUGGAUUUGGGGGUCUGAAGAGACCACAGGAGAGAAAGGAAAAUAGAGGGAGGAGAAGACACCAUGGGGUAAGAGUCUAAGAAUAAUGGCCGUGAGGCUGGCUAAUGGAGUUCAGAGCAGCCAGACGACACACAGCAAAUCAUUCCCCCCUCACUCUCGUAAGUCUCUCCGGUGAGGUCUGUUGAAUGCUGUGGCUUCGUGGCAUUCCUUGGCCCUCUGAUAUCACACACACAUGUACAUAUGCACACACGCACACACGCACUAAAUAAAUGAGAGCAAAAAAUUUGAAGUAAAUACGCUAAAUAAGCAAAAAGAGGAUGCACUCCAGGAGACCUGUCACUCCACCUGUUUCAUCCAAUAAGAAUAACAAGAACGUCUUCUUCCCAUUGAUCUCUUCUUUCCCUCAGUAGCAUCCCUUCUCUUCAUGUCAUCUAUAGAUAGCUUUAGUCUAGAUUCUGCUAUGAGAGCAAGCAUGUGACGUGUGACAUUUGUCUUUUCAGGCCUGGUUCAUUUCACUUUGCCGGGAUGGCCUUCUUUCCUAUUUCUUUAAGGUUGGGGAACCCUGAACCCACGCUUCAUAUAGGGACACACUUUUUACAAUGAGUUCAAUUGGGCCUCAGUUCAAACAUAGUGAGUGAUUUCUCAUACAUCUAACCGUUUCCUUUCAGAACCCAGAGGAAGAAGCUCCCUGGUGUGGGGUUGGGGGAGGAACUGCUGUCCUGAGGUGGAAAUCCACUCACUUGACUUCAGUGCAUGGUAACUUUCUGCACACCAUCAAGGCACGGGUGGGAGAGAAAGGAAAACUGUCAAUUCAGUAACGCAGAGGAAGCUGCUGACUCUGGAAGGAUGGUGUGUGUGGUUUCUUUCCCAAUAAGAAUGCUGCUACCUAGAGGAUGGAUCUUGUGCAAACUAUGAUGCGGGCAGUACCAUGCUGGCAAAUGUUUAAUGGCGGGCUCUGGGGAGUGGGGGACCCUUGAUCUACAGAAGUUUCUCAUCUGCAGAGUGUGAAUCCUCUCCCAUGGCCGGUUUCCCGCUGUCCGUGGCAUGACUUUCCUGAGCGUGGUUCUGGGAGUCACGAACCGGUGUGCACCACUACACUGGUCCCCGAUACCCGGAUUUGGUAUCAAUAAAAGCCACAUGAGACUGGUGAUCAUUGCUAACCUCAGUAAAAUGAUCAGGAAUCAAUAAUAAUCUUUCUGAUGGGGGGAGGUGGUAUCCUACAUAUUCCAGGGUGGCUUGAACUCACUUUGUAGCUAAGGGUGACCUUGAGUUCCCGAUCUCUGCCUUCACUUCCUCACUUCUGGAUUAACAGUGUACAAUGCUACAUCUGGUGUACGCUGUACUGAACCCAGGGCUCGGUGUGGCCCAGGCGAGUGCUCUACCCACUGAGCUGCAUCCCUGGUGCCUUUCCGUUAAUUUUUAAUAUGAUUUCUAGGUGUAAGCUAAGAUCAUUUGGAUUUUAAUUAUGACUCCAUUCAACAGCAAAUUGGCAGAGCUCCUGGAAUUUUAAUUAUCAUGUAGUUCACUUGAGCCAAGACAAGUGGCUCCAGGCUGUCAUUAACUCCCGCGGCACUUAAGAGACAAACAGCCCGCGUUUUCUCCGGCUGUAGGUGCGAAGGACGUUGAAACUUCCGUGCGGCUCAACGCACUCAACCUACCCGUUCAUCUUUAUUCCGGUUUUGUCUCUUUAAUCAAGCACCCCUUAGGAUCUGGAAACACUGAAAAGAACAGGAAACCCUGAGGCUAGACAAAGGGAACUGAAGACUGCAUAGGCCCCCUGUGUCACGCCGGUGUCUGGCAAAUGGAAAAUAAGUAAUUUUUGUUAACUAUUAUCAACACAAUAAAUACAACACAAUAAAAG